rnacentral:lncRNA from 10 species
AGGAAGUGGAGGGACAGGAAGUGGAGAAUCCAGCAGGGGCCAAUGUUGGACAACACUCCUUUGCCAGCUGUGCUCCCCAUGCAACGGGAUGAGGAGAUUUUAAGCCUCUACCAGAAAAACUCAAAUCUGGAGAUAAUUUAAUUUUUCCUGGGUCUCUGCCAGCCAUCUCCAGAGUUUUGUCAAAUUUUCCACCUACUUCCUCUGUGUGUGGAAACUCAGCCUCCAUUUUAGAACUCCAUUCCCAACAGUGGUUCUGCACCCCCACCCAUGUUUUUUUGUUUGUUUGUUUGUUUGUUUGUUUUUGGUUAUCCUGGAGGUUUUGUGGAUUAAGAUGUGUGAGAUGAGGGGUUUAUAGGGACUGGCUGGAGGUAUGCCCCCCCUUCCACCCACACACCCACACACACAUACACACGCACACGCUGUUGUGCAGAAGAUGUUUCUUGGGUGGCUGAGCAAAGAAUCAGAUACAAGCAAGGAAACGUGUGGCAUCUGGCUACCAUGAGCUGAAGACAAAGCCUACAUGGGGAAAAGUGCAAAACCAGGAGAAUGGGAGAGAAAUGGAGCCACGCACUGAUGCUGUUGUGAAAC